rnacentral:rRNA from 1 species
GCGUAGGAUGAUACUAUAUAGGAUCAGCUAGUUGGCAAGGUAAUUGCUGACCAAGGCUAUGACGCAUAACUGGGCUGAGAGGAUGAUGAGUCACACUGGAACUGAGACACGGUUCAGACUCCUACGGGAGGCAGAAGUAGGGAUUAUUGCGAAAUGGGGGAAGCCCUGCUGCAGAAAGGCCGCGUGGAUGAUGACACUUUUCGGAGCGUAAACUUCUUUUCUUAGGGAAGAAUUCUGACGGUACCUAAGGAAUAAGCACCGGCUAACUCCGUGCCAGCAGCCGCGGUAAUACGGAGGGUGCAAGCGUUACUCGGAAUCACUGGGCGUAAAGGGCGCGUAGGCGGAUUAUCAAGUCUCUUGUGAAAUCUAAUGGCUUAACCAUUAAACUGCUUGGGAAACUG